rnacentral:rRNA from 1 species
GGGGCGGGAACUUAACGCUAAACCACCGAGUGGCGGGACGGGUGAGUAAUGUCUGGGAAACUGCCUGAUGGAGGGGGAUAACUACUGGAAACGGUAGCUAAUACCGCAUAACGUCGCAAGACCAAAGAGGGGGACCUUCGGGCCUCUUGCCAUCAGAUGUGCCCAGAUGGGAUUAGCUAGUAGGUGGGGUAACGGCUCACCUAGGCGACGAUCCCUAGCUGGUCUGAGAGGAUGACCAGCCACACUGGAACUGAGACACGGUCCAGACUCCUACGGGAGGCAGCAGUGGGGAAUAUUGCACAAUGGGCGCAAGCCUGAUGCAGCCAUGCCGCGUGUAUGAAGAAGGCCUUCGGGUUGUAAAGUACUUUCAGCGGGGAGGAAGGUGUUGUGGUUAAUAACCGCAGCAAUUGACGUUACCCGCAGAAGAAGCACCGGCUAACUCCGUGCCAGCAGCCGCGGUAAUACGGAGGGUGCAAGCGUUAAUCGGAAUUACUGGGCGUAAAGCGCACGCAGGCGGUCUGUCAAGUCGGAUGUGAAAUCCCCGGGCUCAACCUGGGAACUGCAUUCGAAACUGGCAGGCUGGAGUCUUGUAGAGGGGGGUAGAAUUCCAGGUGUAGCGGUUGAAAUGCGGAGAGAUCUGGAGGAAUACCGGUGGCGAAGGCGGCCCCCUGGGACACAAGACUGAACGCCUCAGGUUGCAAAAAGUCGUUGGUAGCAGCCA